GACGUAGGGGGCGAGCGUUGUCCGGAUUUAUUGGGCGUAAAGCGUGCGUAGGCGGCUGCGCAAGUCGGUUGUGAAACCCCGGGGCUCAACCCCGGAACUGCAUCCGAUACUGCGUGGCUAGAGGUAGGUAGGGGAGAUCGGAAUUCCUGGUGUAGCGGUGAAAUGCGCAGAUAUCAGGAGGAACACCGGUGGCGAAGGCGGGUCUCUGGGCCGUAACUGACGCUGAGGAGCGAAAGCGUGGGGAGCGAACAGG
rnacentral:rRNA from 1 species